UACAGAGGUGGCAAGCGUUGUUCGGAUUUACUGGGCGUAAAGGGCGCGUAGGCGGUCAGCACAAGUCAGUUGUGAAAUCUCCGAGCUUAACUCGGAAAGGUCAACUGAUACUGUGCGACUAGAGUGCGGAAGGGGCAACUGGAAUUCUUGGUGUAGCGGUGAAAUGCGUAGAUAUCAAGAGGAACACCUGCGGCGAAGGCGGGUUGCUGGGCCGACACUGACGCUGAAGUGCGAAAGCCAGGGGAGCGAACGGG
rnacentral:rRNA from 1 species